rnacentral:SRP_RNA from 1 species
UCCGGCAACCCGCUAUAGCCGGGCGGAAUUCCUCGGGGAGGCGGUGGUGUGGGGGAGCACGUGGUGGCGCGGCAUCGAACGUCGGGUCCGCUGCAAGGGAUGCGGGUUGAACCCCGCCAGGGCCGGAAGGCAGCAACGGUAAACUUGAUGUUCCCUGUGCCGGCGGGGCGCCUGACGGGAGCCAAAACCGCCACGGGCAAGCCGACACCGCUUGUCGAGCCGAGGUGCACGA